UCUAAUAUGGCAGAAUAGUGCAAUAGAUUUAAGAUCUAUAAAUAAAGAAAAACUUUUAUUAGAA
rnacentral:tRNA from 1 species